UGACCGUGUUAAAAGCAAUGUUAGUAUAAUAAAUUGUUCCACCGAUCUACAAAGUGAAGCCAAGGAUUUUCUCUUCUAGGCUUCUUAUAAAAAAUAUAAUGACCGUCUACGAGAAUAGUAUAGUAUAUAAAUUGUCCCAGUAGUCGAUGGAGUAUCGACGCAGCCAAGAAUUUUAUGUAUUUGACUUUUCCCCCCUGUAGGUGUACUCAGGGCCUCGAGUGUAUUCGUACGCAUGGAUGACGAGGUAAACGUUAGUAGUAGCACAGAAUAAACACAUCUUGAUAACUCUCUCUGUGUUUCUGAAUAAACGAACCUUCUCUUACGAACAACGAAGCAAAUAGAGAGAAAAACGGAGUUAAAGUGCAGAGAGGAAUGAACGGACGGGGCCAAGAGGGGGGCAAAGGGGGGUGGUGAAUCGAUCUUCCUCUCUUGCGUUCUGAACGCCGAGAGUCCAUCAGAAACGCACGAUCCCCAGGAAGGCCAGUUUAAUGCAUAUGCGACGAGCACAACGCGAUGUUACAACUUCUUGGCAAUUGUUUGGUGUCCGCGUGUCGAUUCUAAAAGCUUUUUCCGUGGAGCGAGUACUUCCUGGUAUCUACUUACUUUCCACAGAUCGAUCCGUGGGCGGGAGGCAACUGCGCGAAACGAAAUUCUGAAUGCCUUCGCAUGAAACGAUUGUUACGUGCGCAUUAAUUUUCCAUGUUUUAUAAUCGAAUAAACAAGACGAGAAGGCAAAUAAACGUGCCGCGUGAGUUCUUGCACUUUUAUUUUAACACGCGUUUUCAUGCGCGUUGGAACAGGUGAAAGACUGCUUCGAAAAUAAUUCCGUGCUUCGACUGCGUCCUGCACAAGUAUUAAUAACCAUAAACAAAAUCGUAAAUAAAACUGGCCGUAGCCGUGACAGUUAUUACGAGGCCGGCCACAUCCGAUCCGACGAGAUUUACAGGUGAGGAAAUUAGUCAGUGAUUCAGUUUUGAGCCGCUGUGACACGAUUGAAUCACGUCGAUUUCCUGUCCUGUGGAGUAAUACGAAAAACGUAACUAUUAAAUGUCACGGCAUUUGUUCGUGGCAUAAUUCCAGACUGGGCAUCCCCCUUGCUACCUCUAGCUACCUCCGUGCUUGUUACGGCUCAAUGUUCUCGUUUCUUUUUAUCGAUCAAAUUAUUAUUUCUUACUCGUUACUGGCUCGUUGCUGUCCGUGCAUGCAUACGCAGUAAUAUGCAUGAGUCGGUGUCCUCUGCCAGAUAAAUUCGAGAGAGAGAGAGAAAAAAUCUUUAUGCAACGACGUUCGCAUCGGCCAACGACGCACGGGAUAAUUGUAGUCUGUAUUAUUUAAACUCUUGUUAACCGAGUAUUGUUUGUUCGUAUGCACGAUCUGGAUCUUGGCUAAGUGUCAAUGUAAUGUUAUAUGGCCAGCGAAAAUAUUCGAGAAGUGUCGUAAGGUGCGCGCAUCCAAGAAAUGCAAUCGGCAAAAUAUGAGACGCGCGCUCCUCUCGAGCGAUCGCCUCUAAGUAGUACAGAUAGACGAUAAUCGUUACAGUAGUAAAGGACGGUUAUAUGCCUGCGCCUUACCGAAAGCAUGACACAUUGUCUCGGUUCUGUAUACGGGUCAAGAGAAAACGGGUUGCACUGUCAUCGAACCGUAGUAAUAAUAAAAAA